GGGAAAAGAUCACAGGUGCCUGCGACACUUCCAGGGCCCGCCGAGCCACAGCAUCCGAGACAUGGGACAAGUCUACCAUCAUGCCCAGCUUCUCAAAACUCUGCCCUGAACUUUGGCACCCCGAGAAGCAGCUCCACCUUUGCAACCUUCCCCAGGUGGCAGAACUGACUAGGGCAUGGGUAGUGACCUAAGUCUCACGACUGGAGAGCUUUUCUCCAGGGUCCGAAUGUCUGAUGUCCCAGGACUCGGGGGAAACACUAGGCUGUGAUGAGACAGUGAAGGUGGGCACUGUGUCUGCCGAAGGUUAGCUGGGCAGCACGACUGUCCUCAGCAUCCAACUUCAGUCCUCACACUUCAGCCUUGUGGAGAAACAAGCACAUACCAGCAAAGCCUUAUCCUAGGAGCCCCCAGUAUCAGUGACACAAGGACAACUUGGGGUCAGAGGGAAUGUUCUCCCUCCAGCUCCAGCUCCUCCCAUGACUCCUUCAUUUGCAUCACUGCUGAAAUGUCACCUCCUCAGAGAAGACUUCCCUGACCACCUUGUGUAACAUAAUGGUCCUCAUCACUGUAUUCUCUUAUCCCAUUUUAUUUUUCUUUAUAGCAAUCAUAAUUACCUGAAAUUA